AAUAAUAAACAAGUAUUUCUUUAUUCUAUAUGGUGAAAACUGAGCUUUCUUUUGGGGAUUGGAGAUUGGAUAGUGAUGAAUAUGAAGAAGCAAAAGCUUGGACAUGCUGCAACUGGGUUGAGGGUGAAACAUAAAGAGUACUAUACUAUGUGUGCCAGUUGAGGAAAUUUUGGAAUUGUAUGGCAGUGUUCUGACUCAAAAUGCUCUCUUUCUUUUUUCUUUUUGGGUUUGCAGCUGAAAAUGGUGACUGUUGUUUGCUUUUAUUCAAACUACAGACCAACCAACUGGGAGUGAAACAUUAAACUGCCAAUACAAUAUUGGUCCAGAAGAUUAUGCACAUGUCCAAACCGACCACCUCUGGUAAGUAGAAGAUUUUGGCUCUGUUCUUCUCUGAGUUUGUACUGUUUUGAAAUUUGAAUUUUAGAAUGAGGAGAAUGGACUUUGUUAGUGUAAUGAGUCAUUAGUAUAAGAGGUCAAAAUUUUGAAUCUAUGCCGGGCCUCACUCACUCCACAGGACUGUUGAAUUUAUUGUUUAGGGUAAUUGGAACAUAGGCUCGACUUAUUGGUUUUAGGUUAUGGAUUCAUGUACUUGACAAGAAAUGGUCUUUUCCAUUUUUUGUUUGAGUUCACCUAUGGUGGAUUCAAAUCUCACUCACUAAAAUGAACAUAUGGGUAGGCUGUAGCUGUACAAUGCCUUAGAGUGAACUUAAAGGGUAAGAUUGGUGGUGGUACAGGCUACAAAUGAGCUGCUUGUGGUGGUAGGGUAAGGGCAGAGGUGGUACCUGGGCCUGUCUUUGACAUUUGAUCAUUUGGGCUUUCUUUUGGGUGUAGAAACCCUUAAAUAUUUGAUCAUUUCCUUUUCUUUUUUGGGAAAUGUUUCAUCAUUAGUUACCAUGGCAAUCAAUGUUGAUUAUUACCUCUACCAUCUGCCUUUUUCAAAACAAAAAAAAUAAUUAGGUUCAUCCCCACUGGCCACUGCAUCAAUCUUGAUGGCCCUUUCACUCACACCCUUCCAUCACUAUUACAUUAAAUUGAAAGUGAAAUGAAUAAAGACAAAGAUGCAUUCAAAUUGUACUCUUUUUUUUUAAUUUUUUUUUGUUAAGUUGGAUUGGGAACAAAAGAAAGGGAAAUAUAUUUUGUGUUCUUCAAAUUCUACAACAAAUGCAAGAAGAAGAUUCAAAUAUUUAUAUCUUAAUUGAUAGUAUAUUUUUUUAACCAAUUCAAGUACAUUCAAAUUAGUAAUAGGAAAAGAGGAAGAUAUAAAUGCAAAAUUAUGUUACUAUGGUCAAGUUACUUCAGUUUUAGAUUUUGAAUAAAAAAGAAAAAGGGGACUAAUUGAGAGUUGGGUUACAAGAUAUAAGUUAAUUUCAAUGUUAAAAUAAUCAUUUUUUUCUGCCAUAAGCAUUCAUGCUGAGUAACAAUUUAAACUUUCCUUUAUAACAACUUAUUUUCUCUAUCCAUAAAAUAAGAUUAAUUUAGAGAUUAUGCUUUAGAUAAUUUAGUUUUUAUUGUAAAAAAAUAAUAUUAAAAGUAUAAGAAAUUGGUUAAAUGUGAAACUUGUUUAAAAAUUAUAAAUACUAAGUCAUUAUAUAAUCAAUACGAAGUUUUAAAAGAUAGAGACUUCAUCACUUCAAUUGUUACAAAUUUAUAUUAAAUUUGUGGAAAUUUAAAUAGUAUAAAUUUGAAAGUAUAGGUACUAAAUUGGUAAGGGCUAAAGUUUAAGAACUAAGAGAAAGAUUAAAUUGUUAUAAAGAGUUGGUGAGGGUAAGCAUUAAUUUGUGUUUGGCAGGAAUCCAUGGGAUUGUUUUGAAUGCAGAAUGUUGUGUUUGGAAAUGGAGAAGGGGAGAAUGAAUUGAUUGUUAUUAUAAAAAAAUCACAUUCUCUUGCUGCUGUUAUAAGGAAAAUGGCUAUGACGACUAUGGGAAAUAUGGUGGGUUUUUCUCUUUUUUUUUUUCUUUUUUUUUUUCUGGAGAAAAUUGAAGUUGAAGAGGAAAUCUGGGUUAAAGUUAAUUUGAGAUUGGUGGUUAAAGUUAAGAAUCGGAUCUAUGAAUGAAGGAGAAGUGGUUUGAUGAAAGAGGGGGGUAGCUAAAGAUGAACAAAG
rnacentral:lncRNA from 1 species